rnacentral:rRNA from 1 species
AGUGAACGCUGGCGGUAGGCCUAACACAUGCAAGUCGAACGGCAGCACAGUAAGAGCUUGCUCUUACGGGUGGCGAGUGGCGGACGGGUGAGGAAUACAUCGGAAUCUACUUUUUCGUGGGGGGUAACGUAGGGAAACUUACGCUAAUACCGCAUACGACCUACGGGUGAAAGCAGGGGAUCAUCGGACCUUGCGCGAUUGAAUGAGCCGAUGUCGGAUUAGCUAGUUGGCGGGGUAAAGGCCCACCAAGGCGACGAUCCGUAGCUGGUCUGAGAGGAUGAUCAGCCACACUGGAACUGAGACACGGUCCAGACUCCUACGGGAGGCAGCAGUGGGGAAUAUUGGACAAUGGGCGCAAGCCUGAUCCAGCCAUACCGCGUGGGUGAAGAAGGCCUUCGGGUUGUAAAGCCCUUUUGUUGGGAAAGAAAAGCAGCAGGUUAAUACCCCGCUGUUCUGACGGUACCCAAAGAAUAAGCACCGGCUAACUUCGUG